rnacentral:rRNA from 1 species
AGAGUUUGAUCCUGGCUCAGGACGAACGCUGGCGGCGUGCCUAAUACAUGCAAGUAGAACGCUGAAGAGAGGAGCUUGCUCUUCUUGGAUGAGUUGCGAACGGGUGAGUAACGCGUAGGUAACCUGCCUUGUAGCGGGGGAUAACUAUUGGAAACGAUAGCUAAUACCGCAUAACAAUGGAUGACCCAUGUCAUUUAUUUGAAAGGGGCAAAUGCUCCACUACAAGAUGGACCUGCGUUGUAUUAGCUAGUAGGUGAGGUAACGGCUCACCUAGGCGACGAUACAUAGCCGACCUGAGAGGGUGAUCGGCCACACUGGGACUGAGACACGGCCCAGACUCCUACGGGAGGCAGCAGUAGGGAAUCUUCGGCAAUGGGGGCAACCCUGACCGAGCAACGCCGCGUGAGUGAAGAAGGUUUUCGGAUCGUAAAGCUCUGUUGUAAGUCAAGAACGAGUGUGAGAGUGGAAAGUUCACACUGUGACGGUAGCUUACCAGUAAGGGACGGCUAACUACGUGCCAGCAGCCGCGGUAAUACGUAGGUCCCGAGCGUUGUCCGGAUUUAUUGGGCGUAAAGCGAGCGCAGGCGGUUUGAUAAGUCUGAAGUUAAAGGCUGUGGCUCAACCAUAGUUCGCUUUGGAAACUGUCAAACUUGAGUGCAGAAGGGGAGAGUGGAAUUCCAUGUGUAGCGGUGAAAUGCGUAGAUAUAUGGAGGAACACCGGUGGCGAAAGCGGCUCUCUGGUCUGUAACUGACGCUGAGGCUCGAAAGCGUGGGGAGCGAACAGGAUUAGAUACCCUGGUAGUCCACGCCGUAAACGAUGAGUGCUAGGUGUUGGAUCCUUUCCGGGAUUCAGUGCCGCAGCUAACGCAUUAAGCACUCCGCCUGGGGAGUACGACCGCAAGGUUGAAACUCAAAGGAAUUGACGGGGGCCCGCACAAGCGGUGGAGCAUGUGGUUUAAUUCGAAGCAACGCGAAGAACCUUACCAGGUCUUGACAUCCCGAUGCUAUUUCUAGAGAUAGAAAGUUACUUCGGUACAUCGGUGACAGGUGGUGCAUGGUUGUCGUCAGCUCGUGUCGUGAGAUGUUGGGUUAAGUCCCGCAACGAGCGCAACCCCUAUUGUUAGUUGCCAUCAUUCAGUUGGGCACUCUAGCGAGACUGCCGGUAAUAAACCGGAGGAAGGUGGGGAUGACGUCAAAUCAUCAUGCCCCUUAUGACCUGGGCUACACACGUGCUACAAUGGUUGGUACAACGAGUUGCGAGUCGGUGACGGCAAGCUAAUCUCUUAAAGCCAAUCUCAGUUCGGAUUGUAGGCUGCAACUCGCCUACAUGAAGUCGGAAUCGCUAGUAAUCGCGGAUCAGCACGCCGCGGUGAAUACGUUCCCGGGCCUUGUACACACCGCCCGUCACACCACGAGAGUUUGUAACACCCGAAGUCGGUGAGGUAACCUUUUGGAGCCAGCCGCCUAAGGUGGGAUAGAUGAUUGGGGUGAAGUCGUAACAAGGUA